rnacentral:rRNA from 1 species
CCUACGGGUGGCAGCAGUGGGGAAUAUUGGGCAAUGGGCGCAAGCCUGACCCAGCAACGCCGCGUGAAGGAAGAAGGCCUUCGGGUUGUAAACCUCUUUUGUCAGGGAAGAGUAGAAGACGGUACCUGACGAAUAAGGCACGGCUAACUACGUGCCAGCAGCUGCGGUAAUACGUAGGGGGGAAGCGUUGUCCGGAUUGACUGGGUGUAAAGGGCGUGUAGGGGGGUUGACGAGUCAGAUGUGAAAUCCUGCGGCUUAACCUCAGAACUGCAUUUGAAACUGUUGAUCUUGAGUACUGGAGAGGCAGACGGAAUUCCUAGUGUAGCGGUGGAAUGCG